GCUAAUUGAAUCCUUGCCAGCCAAGCAGAGUUUAGUUUCCUCUUCUCCCUUCUAUUUAACAAUUAAUUAACUGUUAAAGGGCCACAACAUUGGCACUUCUGCUGCCAGGACCAACUUCAGGAAUUUCACAGCAACUUUGUUUCAACGUGCUCUCUUUUCUUCCUCCAGGUCUGCAUGAAGGUGACAUGCCUGAUACCAGGCAGCAGCAGGAAGCAGUCGUGUCACAUAAGAACCCUAUCAAGAACUCCGGACUCACAUCUGGGAGAAUCAGAUGGAAGGAAAUCAGCAGGAAGCAUCUGGCGGGGAACUGAGCAACUAAGGGGAGGAGCUGCUGGAGUUGGCAGGAGAACAGCUGCAGCAGGAUGAGGCAAAGGGGGAGGCUAGUUAACUUCUCUCCCGAGCUGUGUUGUGAAUUGGCUGAAUCACUUCAUGGAGACCUUAACAAAUCUUUAAAGCUGUCUGCACAGAAUGGCCAGUCAUCUGUUUAAGUCUAUAAGAGACUGGUUCAGUAUCUGAGGAGUGGAAAAUGGUGUUGAACAUCAUGCAAUCCUCGGUGAACAUCCCCACUUUGGACCUUAUGAUGGAGGGAAGCUCAUUGAUAAAGCAGGUGAAGGUGGUUGAGCCUUGGACACUAUCCUGAGGAACUCCUGCAGAGAUGCCCUGGAGCUGAGAUGACUGACCUCUAACAACAACAACCAUCUUCCUAUAUCCCAGAGCGAACACGGGACCUGGCAUCAGGAUCAGCCCCAGCCACAUUGACGGAGGCAACGUUGGGGGCUUAGGCCCAGCGGCACAGGAUGGUGCCUGAGGAUUGGCCACUUGGUCACUGGUUGGGUGCAGUGCUGGUGACGGCGAAAUAGUAUGGAAUGGCAUCACAGCAACAUCGACAAGUUGUUGACUUGGAACUGGAGAAGAAAUUCAUGCUGUCAAGCCGUAUGGAAUAUUUUGAAGAAGUAACAUAAAGACUACAAUCUUUAACGUUGGCCUGACAGAGCCGUAAAUGUCUGGGAAUUUCACCAUAUGCUGCACAUCAAUCUAUUAAAUGCAAGAGCUGUCCCAAGAGUAUACCACUGCUGGUGGACCUGAGCCAGUGUGAGAGGAGAUAUCUAGGGAUUUAAUGGAUCUCUUUCUUUCAAUUCUGGUACCAAUUUCUAUUGACAGGUCUUAAUGUGUGCUAUAUUCAAACCUAAGGUUUGUGAAAUUUAAAUUUCUGCUUCUGUGUUUGCCCAUUGAUGUCAGAAAUUCUACACAAUAUUAAUUGGAAUAUCUUAUUUUUGUGACUUUAGCAUUUGACUGUUUUUUUUUUGUCCUGUUGUUUGAAUUUUAUUUCCUGUAUUUUGCUGUAAUUAACAUUGGGAUAUUGCUGUGUCAUUGUU